UGGAAACAGCGGUUAGGAGCUUACACCCACCCGUGUUUACAUACUAUUGUUGCUUUGGCGGGCCGUGGCCUCCACUGCGGGCUCUGCUCGUGUGUGCCCGCCAGAGGACCAAACUCUGAAUGUUAGUGAUGUCUGAGUACUAUCUAAUAGUUAAAACUUUCAACAACGGAUCUCUUGGUUCUGGCAUCGAUGAAGAACGCAGCGAAAUGCGAUAAGUAAUGUGAAUUGCAGAAUUCAGUGAAUCAUCGAAUCUUUGAACGCACAUUGCGCCCUGUGGUAUUCCGCAGGGCAUGCCUGUUCGAGCGUCAUUUAACCACUCACGCCUAGCGUGGUAUUGGGGCACGCGGUCUCCGCGGCCCUCAAAAUUAGUGGCGGUGCCGGUGGGCUCUAAGCGUAGUACAUACUCCCGCUAUAGAGUUCCCCCCGGUGGCUCGCCAGAACCCCCAAUUUUUACAGGUUGACCUCGGAUCAGGUAGGGAUACCCGCUGAACUUAAG
rnacentral:rRNA from 1 species